UGCAGAGCUGCUGAGAACUUAUACAAACACCAUACCCUUCUAUAGAGCUGCGGAAGGAUCCGCCGCAGUUGCCGCCAAGUUAGCUGGCAUCUCCUGGAACCACAUAGAGAUGCAGCAUUGAAAUGCCGUGUACCGGGAUAUUUGCUGAUGUCUCUCCGGCCUAGAGAAAGAUCCAAGUCCCACUGUCCAGCUGGUGGCAACUGAGGACUAUAAGAACAUCUGUUACUGAUGGAGUGCUUGAGAAAUGAAGCAGAACGAAAGACAAACGGACCACGGCGCUCCAGUAGUAUAAGGGCUCCUACCAUAAUCAAAUGUUAACCCCACCCCUUGACCAAUAAGCCCUGCCCCACCGGGUCAUCGGAAGACCCACCCAUGGGUAUUACUUCUGGGGCCAAAGGGCGACACAUGACCAGAAGCAAUAUGUGUCAUGCGGACCCCUCUAAGAUUCUUCUCCCUGUCUCUACCAAUCAGAUGGGUAUUUGCCCCAAUAGGAAUGCCCCUGAGAGAAGAUUUGACCAAUCAGAGGAGUUCCGGGGCAGGACCUUCCGGAAGUGAUUUGUGUUGACCCCUCUAAGAACUCCUCCACCGCCUUUUCUGAUCAGGAGGCGUUUCGCCACUGGGGAAUACCCCAAGAGCGGAGUUUGACCAACUUGGGGGAUUCUGGGGUGGGGAUGACCCGUCCGGAAGUGCUUUCAGUGACCCCUCUAAGAAACUCCGCCCAUCACCCUUUACCAAUUGCGAUGGGUUCAGCCUGCAGGGGCUAGCCCCAAGAGGAGCAGGUUGACCAAAAUAGGGUAGGUUCUCGGAAAGGAGUGAACCGCCCAGA